ACUAAAAAUAAUCAUCAGGAUGCUGCUAAAACAGUACUAUGAGGAAUUUAAAGCACUAAACACACAGCUUAGAAAAGAAAGAAUGGUUUUAAAUCCAUGCUCCAAGGUUACUUCUCUCACCAUCCUGCUUCUAUCCCAUGACCUGCCUGUAUCCGCCCCACAAGAGUGAGUGCUCUGAGGGCUGCAUCUGUAUCGUGUGCAUCCUUAGUAUACCGACCCUAACACAGAGCCUGGUCCACCACAGGCCUCCAGAUACAUGCCUUGACCAAAGCUCCAGGCUCACUGGUGUCCCUGUCACAGGAGCCAGAGAACGCCUUGGGCCUGGGCCUUCUAUUCCAUUCCAUCUGGAAUGAACAGAAUUCUGGUCCCAUAACACGGCCCAGGGAGCCUCUGAGGACUGGCGAUGGGCCCACUCCGCAGGCCAGUCUGAGAGGGACCACAGGGCAAGCCACCCCGACCCGUGCGGCUCCAUGGAGACCCUUCCCACCUCAGGGCUUGGUACCCGUGCCCCUCCCCCGCAGCUCUCCUCGGGUCUGGCUCUUUCUCACUGCUGCAGUUUCAGUUCAUUUCCUCAGACGGGCCUUCUGUGCCCCUUACCUAUAAUCCUUCCUUCUACAGCAUCACUGGGCUUUGGUUUUGGACAGCCACCCCUCCCCUAGUAGAUCCAGUCCUGGUGAAGUUGUCAGCUAAGGCACCCUGGUCUCCCCUAGUGAGAGAGCUGUGGACCUUCUGUUCCUGUGUUGUGACUGCUCCGGGGAACUUUCUCCCCACGUCUACCCCUGAAGAGACAGUCUACUGGGGCCACAAAAUAACCCUGCUUCCUGUGCCUUCCCUUAUUCUCUCUCCCUUUCACUCUGUCCUUUGAUCCUGUCUUAUCCUCCUCUUAUCUGUCCAGAAAUUUCCUUUUGGCUGAGUCAUUUCUUUGGCUUACAAUAAAGAACCCUGACACUAACCUUCAGCCAUUAUCUUUUUGUUCUUCUUACAGCAUUUUUCAAAAUCCAAAAUGAUUUUUUUUUUUUAAAUGAGCUGACAUGUUUGUCGUCUGUCUCCACCGUGUCGGGAGCAGCCUUUUCAGUCUUGCUCCCUGCUGUCCCAAGACCUAGUCCAAGACUGAGGCUGGCGCAGGCAGGGCUGCAGAGGAAGGCAGGGCCACGCGGGGCCGGGUCUCACCGCCAGACCCUCUGGCUGGAGCGCUGCCCAGGCUGUGUGAGAGGGGGCGGGAGGGGGCCGUGGGGACCAGGGGUGAGCCUCCACCUUCGCUUCGGAUUCCAAGCAACAGAUUCCAAGACCAGAUCUCUCUUCCCCUCGCCCUGUGAUCUCUACCGAUCCUUGGGGACACUGGCAAUGUCUGGAGACAUUUUUGGCUAUCAUAACUGCAGCAACACAUCCUACAAUGCACAGGACAGCUCCCUCAACAAAGAGUUUUCCAGCAAAAAUGUCGAUAGUACCAAGGUGGCGAAGCCUCGCUGUGACUGAAUGUACCACGUAUGCCUAAGGCAAGAGCAUCAUCAUAUAAACACACCGGAGAGAUACGGUCAAGUCUUGAUUCACGUCACAAGGCUGUUGGCAGUGGCUGGGAGUCAAAUCAGAUCCAUUUAUGCUGUGAUUCAAGUACCUGUCUACUCUGCUCCCUGCCUCAGUGACUGAGCAUUUGUGAGCCUGAACCAUGGGACAUGGCAAACAGAUAUUUUGUCCUGAGAGGCAAAGAAAUGUCCAGGACGGCUAGGAGCCCAGAAGCCUGAGUUCGACUCCCAAGUGGACCCCUUGUCCCAGGACCAGAUCAUCCACGUCACCCAGAGCUCCCGAGUCCUCACCAGCAGACAGACUCAGCACACUCCCAGACCCACCUGGAGAGGUGGAUUCUUUACCAUCUGAGCCACCAGGGAAGCCCAAGGAGUCUCUGCAAAGCCUGUGGCAGGAUCCAGCCCUCCCCCAGCCCUGCCCUGCCUCCCCGAGGGUGGAAGUCAUCCCGGGACCACAGGGAGCCCUCGCCAAAGGUCUCUUCAGCACCCACUCUGGCCAGGGCAUCAAGGGCGGCAGAGGCAGAAAGUGACAGAACAGGGCUUUGGAGACGCCAAACUGUGGCCCUGCCACUCAGCACCGUGUGGCCUGACAUCUUGCCUGGAUCCAAGAAUCAGUCUCCUUGUGCACAAAGUGAAGUCAACAGUUGUAACCGGUGAAGCAGUGACACAAACGAAAUAAAACGAAUGGAACCGAGAGCACUAAAAAA